AUUGAACGCUGGCGGAAGGCCUAACACAUGCAAGUCGAACGAGUGGCGGACGGGUGAGUAAUGUCUGGGACACUGUCUGAUGGAGGGUUAUAACUACUGGAAACGGUAGCUAAUACCGCCUACCAUCGGAUGAGCCUAGAUGGGAGUAGCUAGUAGGGGGGGUAAAGCCUCACCUAGGCGACGAUCCCUAUCUGGUCCGAGAGGAUGACCAGCCACACGUGAACUGAGACACGGUCCAGACUCCUACGGGAGGCAGCAGUGGGGAAUAUUGCACAAUGGGCGAAAGCCUGAAGCAGCCAUGCCGCGUGUAUGAAGAAGGCCUUCGGGUUGUAAAGUACUUUCAUCGGGGAGGCGUUACCCGCAGAAGAAGCACCUGCUAACUCCGUGCCAGCAGCCGCGGUAAUAC
rnacentral:rRNA from 1 species